rnacentral:rRNA from 1 species
CUACGGGCUGCUCCAGGCGAGAAAACUUUGCAAUGUGCGAAAGCACGACAGGGUUAAUCCGAGUGGUUUCUGCUAAAGGAACCUUUUGACAGUCCUAGAAACACUGUUGAAUAAGGGGUGGGCAAGUUCUGGUGUCAGCCGCCGCGGUAAAACCAGCACCUCAAGUGGUCAGGAUGAUUAUUGGGCCUAAAGCAUCCGUAGCCGGCUCUGUAAGUUUUCGGUUAAAUCUGUACGCUCAACGUACAGGCUGCCGGGAAUACUGCAGAGCUAGGGAGUGGGAGAGGUAGACGGUACUCGGUAGGAAGGGGUAAAAUCCUUUGAUCUAUUGAUGACCACCUGUGGCGAAGGCGGUCUACCAGAACACGUCCGACGGUGAGGGAUGAAAGCUGGGGGAGCAAACCGGAUUAGAUACCCCGGUAGUC